GCUGUAAACAGACACUACUGCCCACAACACGCAGGACAUCUGCUCCAGGGGCUGAGGUCCCGGGAGUCUCAAGAAUUCUGCACCUAGCUCCUCACCAUGGUCUGGUGCCAGAGGAAGCACUCCCCUCUCCCCAGAGGCACCUCCCCGUCACCCCCCGAGGAGUAUAAGAGCUGCAGCCACAUGCUACCAUCAGGAGGAACCUGUCUGCCAGUUUUGGGUUUACCUUGAUGUCAGUCUUGCAAUCCAAGCUGCGGAAAGUCUCAUUUCCACCUGGCAAGAAAAGCAGCACUGAUAUCCUGGCCCUCAUCUGACAACCAGCACUGAAACAGGCUUUUUCACACUGAGGUCCUGAUGGCAGUGGCAUGGUUGAGUCUGAGGGCAACAUUUUCCCUUGAACAAUCAAUGGCACUUAAGAUCCUAAACCCAUUAGGUCACUUUUGGAAAUGUUGCCCCACAGAGUGCUGGCCUCUUGCCAGCUGACUGAACCCAGUGGGAGGCUUCCAAAGUGGUGGCCUUUUCUUUGAAAGACUGCUCAGCUAUUAAAGCCCUUAUUACUAUACUUAACAACUGGCUUA